rnacentral:rRNA from 1 species
GGCGGACGGGUGAGUAACACGUGGGUAACCUGCCCAUAAGACUGGGAUAACUCCGGGUAACCGGGGCUAAUACCGGAUAACAUUUUGAACCGCAUGGUUCGAAAUUGAAAGGCGGCUUCCGCUGUCACUUAUGGAUGGACCCGCGUCGCAUUAGCUAGUUGGUGAGGUAACGGCUCACCAAGGCAACGAUGCGUAGCCGACCUGAGAGGGUGAUCGGCCACACUGGGACUGAGACACGGCCCAUACUCCUACGGGAGGCAGCAGUAGGGAAUCUUCCGCAAUGGACGAAAGUCUGACGGACCAACCCCACGUGAGUGAUGAACGCUUUCGGGUCGUAAAACUCUGUUGUUAGGGAAAAAACACGUGCUAUUUGAAUAAGCUGGCACCUUGACGGUACCUAGCCCGACGGCCCCGGCUAACUUGAGGC